GUUUUGGCAAAAAAAAAAAAAAGCUCUUUUUGCAGGUCAACUUCUUUUUAAAAUUGUUUCGAUCUGUAAGUCUGUUCUGUUCCUUGAUGAGUGUACUUUGUAUUGGGUAUUUGAAUUGGUAUGCGGAUGCUUGCGUGGGCUGGUUCUCUUUUCGUAUUUCCCUGUUUGGUUGCCGAGAAAAAGAGCUGGGUACUAUGAAAGCAGAGGAAAGAGAAAUGUUUGCUGCAUUUGCCCAAAUGGCUGUUUUGUUCUCAGUAGGAAUUCAUCCACGAUAACAGAUCAGGCGUCGAGAAAUCCUCAUUAACUUCAGCUAGGUGUGUGAAUGGAUGGGAUUAUCAAUAAGGAAUAAGCAGUCAAAUCAAAAGCAAAACGCGAGAAAGAGGAGAUGAGGGAGGAAUCAACCGGACUGAUCAUUGGGAUUUCUAUUGGCGUAGUUAUUGGUGUCGUUUUGGCUAUUUCUGCACUUUUCUGUGUCAGAUACCAUAGGAAGCGAUCGCAGAUUGGGAGUAGCAGUUCACGGAGGGCGGCUACGAUACCCAUCCGUACAAAUGGAGCUGAUUCUUGUACCGUUCUAUCGGACUCAACCUUAGGCCCAGAAUCUCCUGUUAAGUCGGGACGAAAUGGCAUGUCCUUCUGGUUUGAUGGCUUCAAGAGAAACAACGUCGUUUCAGCUUCUGGAAUACCAGAGUAUCCUUACAAGGAUUUGCAGAAGGCGACCUGUAAUUUUACAACACUUAUAGGACAAGGUGCAUUUGGUCCCGUUUAUAAAGCUCACAUGUCCACUGGCGAGACCGUUGCAGUUAAAGUUCUUGCAACUAAUUCUAAGCAAGGAGAAAGAGAAUUCCAUACAGAGGUUAUGUUGUUGGGAAGGCUGCAUCAUAGGAACCUUGUUAAUUUGGUUGGAUAUUGCGCAGAGAAGGGACAACAUAUGCUUGUAUAUGUCUAUAUGAGCAAAGGCAGCUUGGCUUCCCACCUGUACAGUAAGGAGAACGGAGCAAUGAGCUGGGAUUUGAGAGUUCACAUUGCUCUAGAUAUAGCGAGAGGCUUGGAGUAUCUUCAUGAUGGGGCAGUUCCUCCGGUAAUCCACCGAGAUAUCAAGUCCUCAAACAUUUUGCUAGACCAGUCCAUGAGAGCCAGGGUUGCUGAUUUUGGACUCUCAAGAGAAGAGAAGGUGGACAAGCACGCAGCCAUCCGGGGCACUUUUGGGUAUCUAGACCCAGAGUACAUAUCCUCAGGAACAUUCACCAAGAAAAGUGACGUGUACAGUUAUGGAGUUUUGCUUUUUGAACUCAUAGCAGCCAGAAAUCCUCAACAAGGUCUUAUGGAAUUAGUUGAGCUAGCUUCAAUGAACAGUGAGGGGAAAAUGGGGUGGGAGGAGAUAGUGGACUCUGCAUUAGAAGGGGAAUAUGAUGCAGAGGAGCUGAAUGAAGUAGCGGGGCUCGCAUACAAAUGCAUAAACCGGGCACCAAGGAAGCGACCUUCCAUGAGAGACGUGGUUCAAGUACUCACGAGGAUCCUUAAAACCAGAAAAUCUAAAAACCGUCGCAGGGCAGAUGAAGUGUGCAUUGAUGUGGAUCAGGCUGAAGCAAGGAUUCAUCGCAGAGAAGAAUCUAUGGACAGUGCAGCUGACACCUAUGAAGUGUAGAAUAACAUUGCUCUUAACUUCUUCUCAGUUUUGGGUUUUUCUGUUAUAUAUAUAAUGUCCUAGUUGUUCCUACAUCCUGGAAUUUGUAUAUUACUUCAUGAGUGCAAGUGAAAAGGUAGGGAGGGGGGUGGAUGGAAGAAAGGUUCCGGGCCCACCAGAUGGCCAUACCUCAUAUUCUGAUUUCCCUUUCCAUGGUUGCUUCUGCAUCAA